rnacentral:rRNA from 1 species
UACAGAGGUCCCAAGCGUUGUUCGGAUUCAUUGGACGUAAAGGGUGCGUAGGUGGCGCCGUAAGUCGGGUGUGAAAUUUCGGAGCUUAACUCCGAAACUGCAUUCGAUACUGCGGUGCUUGAGGACUGGAGAGGAGACUGGAAUUCAUGGUGUAGCAGUGAAAUGCGUAGAGAUCAUGAGGAAGACCAGUGGCGAAGGCGGGUCUCUGGACAGUUCCUGACACUGAGGCACGAAGGCCAGGGGAGCAAACGGG